AGAACGAACGCUGGCGGCAUGCCUAAUACAUGCAAGUCGAACGAGAUCUUCGGGUCUAGUGGCGCACGGGUGCGUAACGCGUGGGAAUCUACCCUUGGGUUCGGAAUAACAGUUGGAAACGACUGCUAAUACCGGAUGAUGACGAAAGUCCAAAGAUUUAUCGCCCAGGGAUGAGCCCGCGUAGGAUUAGCUAGUUGGUGAGGUAAAGGCUCACCAAGGCUACGAUCCUUAGCUGGUCUGAGAGGAUGAUCAGCCACACUGGGACUGAGACACGGCCCAGACUCCUACGGGAGCAGCAGUAGGGAAUAUUGGACAAUGGGGGCAACCCUGAUCAGCAAUGCCGCGUGAGUGAGUGAAGG
rnacentral:rRNA from 1 species